rnacentral:rRNA from 1 species
AUUACCCAAUCCGGACACGGUGAGGUAGUGACAAGAAAUAACAAUACGGGGCUUAAAGUCUUGUAAUUGGAAUGAUGGGAAUUUAAACCUCUUCCAGAGUAUCAAUUGGAGGGCAAGUCUGGUGCCAGCAGCCGCGGUAAUUCCAGCUCCAAUAGCGUAUAUUAAAAUUGUUGCAGUUAAAAAGCUCGUAGUUGAAUUUCUGCUGCAUUGCUUGUGUCCCUCUGGGGUCUGUGCAUGUGGCUUUUUUCGGACGGAGUUUCUUUGUCUGAAUGUUUACUUUGAGAAAAUUAGAGUGCUCAAAGCAGGCUUUCGCCUUGAAUAGUUUAGCAUGGAAUAAUAAAGUAGGACUUUGGUUCUAUUUUGUUGGUUUUAGGUACCAAAGUAAUGGUUAAUAGGAACAGUUGGGGGCAUUCGUAUUUAA